AUGUCAGUGUCUCCUCCUCAUUUCCUCCACUCCUCUUUGCCUCCCUUCUUCUCCUUCGACGUCAACUCCCCACCGGUGUCAAACCCCGAAGUUCACCGGAGAGAGCGGCGCGGCCAUGGGCGCCGGCCACACCGCUGGCCUACGUGCAAGACCGCAUCCAUCCACACAACCGCGUCCUUGCGGACGACGGCAUCCAACAGGGCCACGGAGCGCCAGCCGCCUCCCCUUCCACCAGUGCCAGCCGCCCCUUCUUCCACCUCGCCGGCGUCGGCCGGCCGCUCCUCCGCCUCCCCAACUGCCUCCUCCCCCCAAAUCUUCUCCUCCCCGUAG
rnacentral:rRNA from 1 species